rnacentral:lncRNA from 1 species
AUCUUUAGUAUUGUGAGCCCUUAAAAGGGACGGAAAUUGUGCAUUCGGGGAGCUCGGAUUUUAAGGCAGUAGCCUGCUGAUGCUCCCAGCUGAAUAAAGCCCUUCCUUCUACAAUUUGGUGUCUGAGGGGUUUUGUCUGCGGCUCGUCCUGCUACAUUUCUUGGUUCCCUGACCAGGAAACGAGGUAACUGAUGGACAGCCGAGGCAGCCCCUUAGGCGGCUUAGGCCUCCCCUGUGGAGCAUCCCUGAGGCGGACUCCGGCCAGCCCGAGUGACGCGAUCCAAAGAGCACUCCCGGGUAGGAAAUUGCCCCGGUGGAAUGCCUCACCAGAGCAGCGUGUAGCAGUUCCCUGUGGAGGAUUAACACAGUGGCUGAACACCGGGAAGGAACUGGCACUUGGAGUCCGGACAUCUGAAACUUGAGAACAUCACCACCCUGAAGCCAGAGACUAACACUGCAGGACUCAGCAGGACUAUUUAAGAAACAACUGAGGCAUCAGACCAACUUUCCCCACAAGUCCUCGGAUCUUUCCUGCCAUGCUGAUGCCAUAUAUUCCAACGUGAUCAACCUGGCUCCCCAGAAGGAGGACGACUUUGCUGUCUACACCAACAUGCCCCCUUUUCAUCACCCCAGGAGGACAUUGCCAGACCAAGUGGAAUAUGUCUCCAUUGUAUUCCACUGAUGGGAAGCUAAUGAGAUGCUCAGAGUGGGGGUCAGACCUGGCCCCAGCUGAAUCUUGGCAUACCCUUUGCUUUAGAUUUAUGUGUGUGUUUAAAAAAAAAAAAAUACAUAGGCCAGGCACGGUGGCUCACACCUGUAUCCCAGCACUUUGGGAGGCUGAGGCAGGCAGAUCACCAGGUCAAGAGAUCAAGACCAUCCUGGCCAACAUGGUGAAACCCCGUCUCUACUAAAGAUACAAAAAUUAGCCAGGUGUGGUGGUGCAUGCCUGUAAUCCCAGCUACUUGGAAGGCUGAGGCAGGAGAAUCACUUGAACCCAGGGGGCGGAAGUUGCAGUGAGCCAAGAUCACACCGCUGCACUCCAGCCUGGCAACAGAGUGAGACUCCAUCUCUAAAAAAAGUAAAUAAAUAAAAAUAAAACGUAAAACAUAUUCUGAUGGA